rnacentral:rRNA from 1 species
AGUGAACGCUGGCGGUAGGCCUAACACAUGCAAGUCGAACGGCAGCACAGUAAGAGCUUGCUCUUACGGGUGGCGAGUGGCGGACGGGUGAGGAAUACAUCGGAAUCUACUUUUUCGUGGGGGAUAACGUAGGGAAACUUACGCUAAUACCGCAUACGACCUACGGGUGAAAGCAGGGGAUCUUCGGACCUUGCGCGAUUGAAUGAGCCGAUGUCGGAUUAGCUAGUUGGCGGGGUAAAGGCCCACCAAGGCGACGAUCCGUAGCUGGUCUGAGAGGCUGAUCAGCCACACUGGAACUGCGACACGGUCCAGACUCCUACGGGAGGCAGCAGUGGGGAAUAUUGGACAAUGGGCGCAAGCCUGAUCCAGCCAUACCGCGUGGGUGAAGAAGGCCUUCGGGUUGUAAAGCCCUUUUGUUGGGAAAGAAAAGCAGCAGGUUAAUACCCCGCUGUUCUGACGGUACCCAAAGAAUAAGCACCGGCUAACUUCGUG